rnacentral:rRNA from 1 species
UACGUAGGGGGCAAGCGUUAUCCGGAUUUACUGGGUGUAAAGGGAGCGUAGACGGUGUGGCAAGUCUGAUGUGAAAGGCAUGGGCUCAACCUGUGGACUGCAUUGGAAACUGUCAUACUUGAGUGCCGGAGGGGUAAGCGGAAUUCCUAGUGUAGCGGUGAAAUGCGUAGAUAUUAGGAGGAACACCAGUGGCGAAGGCGGCUUACUGGAUGGUAACUGACGUUGAGGCUCGAAAGCGUGGGGAGCAAACAGG